rnacentral:rRNA from 1 species
CAGUCGCCGCGGUAAUACGAAGGGGGCUAGCGUUGCUCGGAAUGACUGGGCGUAAAGGGCGCGUAGGCGGCGAUCAAAGUCAGGCGUGAAAUUCCUGGGCUCAACCUGGGGGCUGCGCUUGAUACUUGGUUGCUUGAGUGGGGAAGAGGGUCGUGGAAUUCCCAGUGUAGAGGUGAAAUUCGUAGAUAUUGGGAAGAACACCGGUGGCGAAGGCGGCGACCUGGUCCUUGACUGACGCUGAGGCGCGAAAGCGUGGGGAGCAAACAGGAUUAGAUACCCCCGUAGUCCCUGUCUCUUAUAA